rnacentral:rRNA from 1 species
AUUGAACGCUGGCGGCAUGCUUUACACAUGCAAGUCGAACGGUAACAGGUUAAGCUGACGAGUGGCGAACGGGUGAGUAAUGCAUCGGAACGUGCCCGAUCGUGGGGGAUAACGCAGCGAAAGCUGCGCUAAUACCGCAUACGAUCUGAGGAUGAAAGCGGGGGACCGUAAGGCCUCGCGCGAUCGGAGCGGCCGAUGUCAGAUUAGGUAGUUGGUGGGGUAAAGGCCCACCAAGCUGACGAUUUGUAGCUGGUCUGAGAGGACGACCAGCCGGACUGGGACUGAGACACGGGCCAGACUCCUGCGGGAGGCAGCAGUGGGGAAUUUUGGACAAUGGGCGAAAGCCUGAUCCUGCAAUGCCGCGUGCAGGAAGAAGGCCUUCGGGUUGUAAACUGCUUUUGUACGGAGCGAAAAGGUCCUUUCUAAUACAAGGGGCUCAUGACGGUACCGUAAGAAUAAGCACCGGCUAACUACGUGCCAGCCGCCGCAGUAA